UACGUAGGUGGCGAGCGUUGUCCGGAUUUACUGGGCGUAAAGAGCGCGCAGGCGGUCGAUCAAGUCGAGUGUGAAAGCCCCCGGCUCAACUGGGGAGGGUCAUUCGAUACUGAUCGACUCGAAGGCAGGAGAGGGUAGUGGAAUUCCCGGUGUAGUGGUGAAAUGCGUAGAUAUCGGGAGGAACACCAGUGGCGAAGGCGACUACCUGGCCUGUUCUUGACGCUGAGGCGCGAAAGCUAGGGGAGCAAACGGG
rnacentral:rRNA from 1 species